rnacentral:rRNA from 1 species
AGUGAACGCUGGCGGUAGGCCUAACACAUGCAAGUCGAACGGCAGCACAGGAGAGCUUGCUCUCUGGGUGGCGAGUGGCGGACGGGUGAGGAAUACAUCGGAAUCUACUCUGUCGUGGGGGAUAACGUAGGGAAACUUACGCUAAUACCGCAUACGACCUACGGGUGAAAGCAGGGGACCUUCGGGCCUUGCGCGAUUGAAUGAGCCGAUGUCGGAUUAGCUAGUUGGCGGGGUAAAGGCCCACCAAGGCGACGAUCCGUAGCUGGUCUGAGAGGAUGAUCAGCCACACGGGAACUGAGACACGGUCCGGACUCCUACGGGAGGCAGCAGUGGGGAAUAUUGGACAAUGGGCGCAAGCCUGAUCCGGCCAUACCGCGUGGGUGAAGAAGGCCUUCGGGUUGUAAAGCCCUUUUGUUGGGAAAGAAAUCCAGCUGGCUAAUACCCGGUUGGGAUGACGGUACCCAAAGAAUAAGCACCGGCUAACUUCGUGCCAGCCGCCGCAGUAA